UAGUCCACGCCGUAAACGAUGUCUGCUAGCCGUUGGCGACUUUAUGUUGCUAGUGGCGAAGCUAACGCGAUAAGCAGACCGCCUGGGGAGUACGGCCGCAAGGUUAAAACUCAAAUGAAUUGACGGGGGCCCGCACAAGCGGUGGAGCAUGUGGUUUAGUUCGAUGAUACGCGAGGAACCUUACCAGGGCUUAAAUGCAUAUUGACAGGGGUAGAGAUACCUUUUCCUUCGGGCAAUUUGCAAGGUGCUGCAUGGUUGUCGUCAGCUCGUGCCGUGAGGUGUCAGGUUAAGUCCUAUAACGAGCGCAACCCCUACCGUUAGUUGCCAGCAUGUAAAGAUGGGGACUCUAACGGGACUGCCGGUGCAAACCGUGAGGAAGGUGGGGACGACGUCAAAUCAUCACGGCCCUUACGUCCUGGGUCACACACGUGCUACAAUGGCCGGUACAGAGAGCAGCCACGAUGCAAGUCGGAGCGAAUCUACAAAACCGGUCACAGUUCGGAUCGGGGUCUGCAACUCCG
rnacentral:rRNA from 1 species